CCUACGGGAGGCAGCAGUGGGGAAUUUUGGACAAUGGGCGCAAGCCUGAUCCAGCAAUGCCGCGUGAGUGAAGAAGGCCUUCGGGUUGUAAAGCUCUUUUGUCAGGGAAGAAACGGUGGGAGCUAAUAUCUCCCGCUAAUGACGGUACCUGAAGAAUAAGCACCGGCUAACUACGUGCCAGCAGCCGCGGUAAUACGUAGGGUGCAAGCGUUAAUCGGAAUUACUGGGCGUAAAGCGUGCGCAGGCGGUUUUGUAAGUCUGUCGUGAAAGCCCCGGGCUCAACCUGGGAAUUGCGAUGGAGACUGCAAGGCUUGAAUCUGGCAGAGGGGGGUAGAAUUCCACGUGUAGCAGUGAAAUGCGUAGAGAUGUGGAGGAACACCGAUGGCGAAGGCAGCCCCCUGGGUCAAGAUUGACGCUCAUGCACGAAAGCGUGGGGAGCAAACAGGAUUAGAUACCCUGGUAGUCCACGCCCUAAACGAUGUCUACUAGUUGUCGGGUUUUAAUUAACUUGGUAACGCAGCUAACGCGUGAAGUAGACCGCCUGGGGAGUACGGUCGCAAGAUUUAAAACCNAAAGGAAUUGACGCNGAGAGNGCGAGACGACGACGAGGAGGAGG
rnacentral:rRNA from 1 species